UAAAAAGUGGUCUACUCUCAAAUGUGAGGAAGUAACAAAGGCACAUUUUCCUCCAGAUCUACUCCCUGCAUGUGUUCAGGAAGAAGAUGGAGCUGGAGAACACAGGGGAUAUGGAACAGAUCCCUGUACCACCCUUUUUUUUUCUUGUUCUCUCAUUCACUCUCCAGUGUUUGUUCUGAUGUGUUUUUAAGUAAACUACAGCCUCAACUCACUUGCAUGGUCCAUUGGUGCUCAACGCCAAGAAGUAAUACAGGACAACAUAAGACCCAAUUGCUUCUUCAUGUGCCUUUCAGGAAGUCCCCUAGGGCUCCCAAUAAUGGUGACUUGUCUCCUACUUAACAACAGCUUUGCUUAUGGAGGCUGACAUAUUGGAUCAACAACAUAAUGAAGAAAAGCCCAACCUGACAGCGUUCAUCAGAAUGAAAGCUUUCACUGUAUCUUGGAGGCCCAACAUAUGGAAAACAUGGCUGUGAAUUCUACAAGUAAAUGUAUGAAAUCAGGAUUUAUAGGAUACUGAAUUGAUAUAACAUGCUGUCUGCAUUUGGAAACAUUUUGAUGGUUUCCAAAGGAAUGCAUAGUAAAUUCCUCUUUCUUUCAUAAAAUAAAUAGUAACUAAUAUUCUCCAAGAAAGACUUAUUUCUAGUGUGUCACUUCUGACUGAUCAGCUUUGGAAUUUGAGUCAGAUACAGACACUAAAAAAAUCCAAAGUAUAAAAAAGGAAGUAGAUCUAAUUCUCUCUUUGAGAGGCUGUGUGAAACGAAGUGCUAUUAUGAACAAAGCACACUUUCACAGAUAAUUGUUACCAUAUUAACAUUUUAACUGCAUGUUACUGAUUAAAUCCCUCACUUGAAUCUCAGUGUCCAUACUCUCCUUUUCCUGAUCUUGAUCCCAAUCUUGCUUCCAUUGUGUCCCCUGGUAAAACUCCACUGAAGGACACCUGGGCUACCUGCAGAAGCAGCCAGGCUGCCAGAGUCAAGCAGUUCUGUGCAUGUGGGAAAACAGACUAUGAUGUAAGGAGAACAACUUGACAGUGAAUGGCAAAACUCCAGUGGUUCACAGCCUUGUACCUGCAUCUUUCCAUCUAAGUUCCCUCAGUGAUUUCAGAUUACCGAUAGCAGUCUGAGGAUUUCCUUUUUAGGCAGAGAAACAAUUACUGAGAGAGAAGACAGAGGGAGAUGAAGGAAGCUGGGGGAUAAGAAUUGUGUUCAUCUCUGCCUCCUUUUUGACCUUGUCAGCACAGAAGCACAGGUUGGGCUACGGCAUUCAGCAAAUUUAAGUAUCUUCUGACAGUUAACCUGUAAAGGAAGGGAGCUUCUGUGCUUAUGUGCAUGGAUUAAUCAGUAUGAUGAGAAGCAACAAAUGAGCAUUCGAAACCCUUAUAAUGUUUGAACAUUUGCACUGAAAGCAUUCAUUUUAAAUAUGCAUUUCUUAAUAGUGAUAUAGGACCAUUUCAUUAAAAUGUUGUGAGCUCAGAGUCAGAUUGACUGGAACAUGUACUGUCCUGUGAUACUAUUGUUGUUUUUUUUCGGAUGGAAAUCAAAUAGCUGUCUUUGAAGGCAAAUACAUGGGCCACAUUCCAACAGUUGGAGCCCUCUCACCUUAGGCAUGAUGGCCUGUGUCUGAUCAGACUGGGAUUCUUUGGACACCAGAGCCCACAUCCUUUCAUACAUGUUUCAUACUUUUAUAAUUCCUAACAUCUCCCUUAACUCUCCAACUCUCUUGCCUUUAAUAAAGGAAUACAUGUACAUAAUUUUCUGUCUCAGGACUGAGACUUAUACCAAAUGACAGAGCAUAAGGGAGGCAUUAGAACACCUAAAUAUUUUUAAAGUUCCAGUUACAGGGUUUUGAUCAAGGACACUCACAAGUUAUGUAGAACAUUUGUCCAGGGACCCAUGAAGCUCAAGGCUUGUGCUUAACUUCAACCUUUCUCUGCUAGGCAGCUUGACAAAAGCAUCUCUAUAGAUACAUAUGUAUAUAUAUUUUUUCCUUUUCUUUUGUUCUUCCUUAUGAUCAACAAUAAAAUUUACCAAGGGCUUCUCCAUAAUUAGCAAAAAGCUCAAGGAGACAAAUCUUGGACAGCACAGGGCAUCAGCAGACAAUUUUGAUGUCAGAGACACUCCUGCAUUGGAUAAAACACUGUGAUGUCUCAGGAACACCUCUCCUGAGUGGAUGUGACUAAGAUAGCACAGAAUAAAUAGUGCUUUGGCUUCAUGAAGAUGUUGUGAAUCUUUAGAUAUUCUCCACAUUUCCAGAGGCUGGUUUAUGGAGAAUUGUUUCAUGCCAUUGCAUUUUACAAGUUCUUGUAUCUGUCAGACCAUAACAAAUGUAUUGACUCAGAAGAGCAACAGCUUUGGCUUUAAACAGCUUAGUUUUGGCUGAAAUUGUGUCUUAAUUUCAACAUUCUUGAGUUUUCCAGUAAAUUUUUUGUUGUUGUUUCAGCUUGCACUGAUUCUAUUAUUAUAUUUUCAUAAAGAAAAGUCAAAGCCAGCAACAUAGUAUAUGUAGCCCACUGUAACCAUUACAGUCCACUGAGCUCUCUCAGGCAUGUACCCUGUCCUUCCUUCCCUUUGCCUUUCAAACUCAUUAUUUGCUGGUUAUCCCCAGACUGCUUUAGUUUUUAAUAUUUGAAUUCUGCUGAAUUCAAAUAUUAGACGGUUGGCACAAGAGUUCCGGUCUCCAGUGUUUGUUAGCAGGGAGAAGCUUUGCUGCAGCACUCCACUCCCUGGAAGGUCAGGAGGCUACCUUCUCCUGGUAGGAGAUCUGCCAAGGAAGCUUGCUCUGUGGUCAAGACCAGGUGGAAAAGAUUAACCCUUUGAGAGUCAUGCCCCUUAGCCUGCCAGGGGUCAUGACACUGAAGGCAUGGUCUGUUGUCAUCAGUGAACAAUCAAGCUCCAGGGUAAGAUUUAUUAGAUACACCACAAAGCACUCUGAAAUAACAUUUUCCUCUCCUUGUCUUUGUUUGGUAAUUCCCCAGAGCUAAUCAAGCCAAAUGAAGUAGAAAAGUGCAGUUAAACUGGUUAGUGACUUAAAGCCCAGUAGUUUGUUUAUGUACCAGGGUUACAUUUGUAUGUCUCUUUUCUUCAGCUGUCUUUGUUCUCCUGAUAGUAAAUUGUAUUUUUGUAAAACUCCAGUACGCAAAUGGAAUAUACUCAUUGAAUUGAAGCAGAUCAAUAAGAACUUUAAGCGUUAACUUGUUCGGUACUGUACCAGAUUAUGAUCUUUAGAGCAUCAAACAAAUACAAUUUUGUUUCCUUUCUGAUUUCAAAACAUUGGCAGAGAAAAGUUGUUUGGCACUGACUGGUUUUGGUGGUUCAGCAUUGCAGCAUGACCUUUUGUUGAGGUUCCUCCCAUAGGAAGCCGCAGCACCACUCAUUGGAAAUUUUAUGAAAUUCAGGGCUGCAUUACCAUUUUUAUGUGGUCACUUACAAAACUGUGCUGGAACCUUUUACACUGACUUUGUUCACUGCUGUACAUUAAUCUUCUCCACUGUGGGGAGAAGUUCUCAUACAUUGCGAAUAAACCUAUUUUUUUCCUCCUUUUUUAACUUUUUAUUUUAUUUACAGAAAGGAUAAAAAGGGUGAGUCGAGUCCAAAAUCUACUGAAAACAAGGACAAAAUUAUUAUCUAAAAGCAUAAAUGUUAGGAUUUCACCCAGGAAUCAUAAGGAUGAAGCUUACGUUUCUCUGAAGAGUUAAAUUCAGGAUACAUUCAAGAUGAACAUCUUUUAUUUGAUAACGAUACUACAUGUAUAAAGCCAACUCAAAGUCAGUGUGUCUGUGGACUUGAAACAUUGCUCUCUGAAAGGUCGAUGUGGGAUUUUUGAAUCUUGAGUCUUCAAGGACGUAAAUGGUGCAUCUAUGCUUUUAGCACUGUGGGACUGCUUCACCGUGUCUGUAAUCACAUGCAAUUAAAUGUUUUACAAAAACAUAAAGUGUAGCAGGAGAGGUAAUGUUUUGGAAAAUCUUUCAAUAAAACAGAAAUAAAGAAAUAAAGUUAUGUGUAUAUUUUAAAUUAACGGUUAGGAGGGAGGUACCCCCCAAAAUUGUUUUCUGUGUCAGAUUUCUAUGCUUCUUUUUAAAGGGUAAAAGCACCAUGUUACUAGAAAUGAAAAACAAAACAAUGAGAAAACAUUGUUCCAGCUGUCAUCACAUUGUUCACACUACAGUAUUAUGUACAUAGAUAGUUACAGCUAUUGCCUAGUUUCCUUAUUGUUUGUUUAGGUCUUUUAUAUAGCAACGACGUAGAGAAAAAUAAUAAGAAAAAUAAAUAAAUUAUUUCUGAUUUAAAAAAUAGAUAUGAACUGGGUGACUUCAGACUAUAACUGCACCCC
ensembl:lncRNA